rnacentral:tRNA from 1 species
GCCGAAGUGGCGGAAUUGGUAGACGCGCACGGCUUAGGACCGUGUGGGCUUUGCCCUUGGAGGUUCAAGUCCUCUCUUCGGCA